UACGAAGGUCCCAAGCGUUAUCCGGAUUUAUUGGGUUUAAAGGGUGCGUAGGCGGGUUAUUAAGUCAGUGGUGAAAGCCUACAGCUUAACUGUAGAAUUGCCAUUGAUACUGAUGAUCUUGAGUAUGAUUGAGGUGGGCGGAAUGUGUCAUGUAGCGGUGAAAUGCUUAGAUAUGACACAGAACACCGAUUGCGAAGGCAGCUUACUACGCAGAUAUUGACGCUCAUGCACGAAAGCGUGGGGAUCAAACAGG
rnacentral:rRNA from 1 species